UUCUUUCGCUUAAUAUUUUCAGAGCACCUACCUAUUAUAGGCACUGUCACUUCUCACAAAACUGGGACAACUAACUGUUUAUCCAACAUCUGCUGGCUAAAUAAAGACAUGAUCUUCACCUUUUGGGAUUGUUAAUUUAAAAUGGUUCCAUAAGAGCAAUGCAAAGACAGAGAUAUUUGGCAGCACUGCAGCUGGUGAUUUAUAUGGCUCUUCACAAGGUGUUAUUUUGGGGUAUCAAGGUAUGGAUGCUUAAAUCAGCUGCAGGAAGUAAGAAAGAAGAAAAAAGGAGUGAUAAAGAUAAAAAAAAAUCAACCUUGGUCCUUCCACCAAGACCCAUUAAUUUCCAUAUCAUCAUCUGCAUAAGAGGGAAGAUUCCUACAUGACCAGGUUACUGCAAGGAUGUGAAUUUUGAAUAUUAAAAUAUUAUACACAAUUGGAA
rnacentral:lncRNA from 1 species